rnacentral:ncRNA from 1 species
CAAAGGUUUGGUCCUGGCCUUACUGUUAAUUUUUAUUAGACCUACACAUGCAAGUUUCCGCGACCCAGUGAGUAUGCCCUUUUAACUUUCUUUUUGAGUGUAAGGGAGCAGGUAUUAGGCACACUUCUUUAGAGUAGCCCAUAACACCUAGUUUAACCACACCCCCACGGGUAACAGCGGUAACUAACAUUGAGCUAUGAACGAAAGUUUGACUAAAUCAUAAUAAAAAGGGUUGGUAAAUUUCGUGCCAGCCACCGCGGUCAUACGAUUAACCCGAGUUAACAGAAGAACGGCGUAAAGUGUGUUUAAGCAUUUAAAAUCCAAAAUAAAGUUAAAGAUCAAUUUAGCUGUAAUACGCUAAGGUUGAUAUUAAAAUACGCAACUUACGUGACUUUACCUAUUGCUGAAGACACUAAAGCUAAGGUACAAACUGGGAUUAGAGACCCCACUAUGCUUAGCCGUAAACCGAGGUAGUUGAAUAACAAAACUAUUCGCCAGAGAACUACAAGCCACUGCUUAAAACUCAAAGGACUUGGCGGUGCCCUAGACCCUCCUAGAGGAGCCUGUUCUAUAAUCGAUAAACCCCGAUAUACCUCACCUUUCCUAGCCUAUCAGUCUAUAUACCGCCAUCGUCAGCUCACCCCAACAGGGUGCCGAAGUGAGCAAGAUCAUGAAACCAUAAAAACGUUAGGUCAAGGUGUAGCAUAUGGAAAGGGAAGCAAUGGGCUACAUUUUCUAUAUUAGAACAUUACGGAUUGUCUAUUGAAACAAAGACAUGAAGGAGGAUUUAGUAGUAAAUUAAGAAUAGAGAGCUUAAUUGAAAUAGGCAAUAGGGUGCGUACACACCGCCCGUCACCCUCCUCGAUAAAGUAACAAACCAUACCUAAUAAAAAUACGUAAAAAAGAGGAGAAAAGUCGUAACAUGGUAAGUGUACUGGAAAGUGCACUUGGAUAAUC